ACGACNGGUAGCCGGCCUGAGAGGGUGUCCGGCCACACUGGGACUGANAUACGGCCCAGANUCCUNCGGGAGGNAGCAGUGGGGAAUAUUGCACAAUGGGCGCAAGCCUGAUGCAGCGACGCCGCGUGGGGGAUGACGGCCUUCGGGUUGUAAACCUCUUUCAGUAGGGACGAAGCGCAAGUGACGGUACCUACAGAAGAAGGACCGGCCAACUACGUGCCAGCAGCCGCGGUAAUACGUAGGGUSCGAGCGUUGUCCGGAAUUACUGGGCGUAAAGAGCUCGUAGGUGGUUUGUCGCGUUGUUCGUGAAAUCUCACAACUCAAUUGUGAGCGUGCGAGCGAUACGGGCAGACUGGAGUACUGCAGGGGAGAUGGGGAAUUCCU
rnacentral:rRNA from 1 species